UGAGCAACCUGCCCUUGACUCCGGAAUAACAGCUGGAAACAGCUGCUAAUACCGGAUACGACCUCCGAUGGCAUCAUCUGGAGGUGGAAAGCUCCGGCGGUCAAGGAUGGGCUCGCGGCCUAUCAGCUUGUUGGUGAGGUAACGGCUCACCAAGGCUUCGACGGGUAGCCGGCCUGAGAGGGCGACCGGCCACACUGGGACUGAGAUACGGCCUAGACUCCUAGGGAGG
rnacentral:rRNA from 1 species